GAACUCGGUGUGUUCGGGGUCCGCGUGUU
rnacentral:sRNA from 1 species